rnacentral:rRNA from 1 species
GAUGAACGCUGGCGGCGUGCCUAAUACAUGCAAGUCGAGCGAACCACUUCGGUGGUGAGCGGCGAACGGGUGAGUAACACGUAGGUGAUCUGCCCAUCAGACGGGGACAACGAUUGGAAACGAUCGCUAAUACCGGAUAGGACGAAAGUUUAAAGGUGCUUCUGGCACCGCUGAUGGAUGAGCCUGCGGCGCAUUAGCUAGUUGGUAGGGUAAAGGCCUACCAAGGCGACGAUACGUAGCCGACCUGAGAGGGUGAACGGCCACACUGGGACUGGGACACGGCCCAGACUCCUACGGGAGGCAGCAGUAGGGAACCUUCGGCAAUGGGCGAAAGCCUGACCGAGCAACGCCGCGUGAAUGAUGAAGGCCUUCGGGUUGUAAAAUUCUGUUAUAAGGGAAGAACGACUUUAGUAGGAAAUGGCUAGAGUGUGACGGUACCUUAUGAGAAAGCCACGGCUAACUACGUGCCAGCAGCCGCAGUAA